AGAACCGGAACUAUGGUUUGUGCCUG
rnacentral:piRNA from 1 species